rnacentral:rRNA from 1 species
UGGUGUUGGCCUGGGCGCAGCCUGAUCAGCGACGCCGCGUGGGUGAUGAAGGCCUUCGGGUUGUAAAGCCCUUUCGACGGGGACGAUGAUGACGGUACCCGGCGAAGAAGCACCGGCUAACUCCGUGCCAGCAGCCGCGGUAAGACGGAGGGUGCUAGCGUUGUUCGGAAUCACUGGGCGUAAAGGGCGCGUAGGCGGCUCGGCCUGUCCGGCUGUUAAAACCCCGGGGUUCACCCCCGGAGGUGCCUCCAAACCUGCCGGCUUGAAGGCCGGAAAAGAAGGUGGAAUUCCCCGUGGUAAGGUUAAAUUUCUUAAUUUUUGGUUGGAACCCCGUUGGCAAAGCCGGUCU